UACAGAGGGUGCGAGCGUUAAUCGGAAUUACUGGGCGUAAAGCGUGCGCAGACGGUCACGUAAGUCGGGUGUGAAAGCCCCGGGCUCAACCUGGGAAUUGCAUUCGAGACUGCGUGGCUAGGGUGCGGAGAGGGAAGCGGAAUUUCCGGUGUAGCGGUGAAAUGCGUAGAUAUCGGAAGGAACACCAGUGGCGAAAGCGGCUUCCUGGUCCAGCACCGACGUCAGGCACGAAAGCGUGGG
rnacentral:rRNA from 1 species